rnacentral:rRNA from 1 species
GGUUAAGCGACUAAGCGUACACGGUGGAUGCCCUGGCAGUCAGAGGCGAUGAAGGACGUGCUAAUCUGCGAUAAGCGUCGGUGAGGUGAUAUGAACCGUUAUAACCGGCGAUUUCCGAAUGGGGAAACCCAGUGUGUUUCGACACACUAUCAUUAACUGAAUCCAUAGGUUAAUGAGGCGAACCGGGGGAACUGAAACAUCUAAGUACCCCGAGGAAAAGAAAUCAACCGAGAUUCCCCCAGUAGCGGCGAGCGAACGGGGAGCAGCCCAGAGCCUGAAUCAGUGUGUGUGUUAGUGGAAGCGUCUGGAAAGGCGCGCGAUACAGGGUGACAGCCCCGUACACAAAAAUGCACAUGCUGUGAGCUCGAUGAGUAGGGCGGGACACGUGGUAUCCUGUCUGAAUAUGGGGGGACCAUCCUCCAAGGCUAAAUACUCCUGACUGACCGAUAGUGAACCAGUACCGUGAGGGAAAGGCGAAAAGAACCCCGGCGAGGGGAGUGAAAAAGAACCUGAAACCGUGUACGUACAAGCAGUGGGAGCCUCUUUAUGGGGUGACUGCGUACCUUUUGUAUAAUGGGUCAGCGACUUAUAUUCUGUAGCAAGGUUAACCGAAUAGGGGAGCCGAAGGGAAACCGAGUCUUAACUGGGCGUUAAGUUGCAGGGUAUAGACCCGAAACCCGGUGAUCUAGCCAUGGGCAGGUUGAAGGUUGGGUAACACUAACUGGAGGACCGAACCGACUAAUGUUGAAAAAUUAGCGGAUGACUUGUGGCUGGGGGUGAAAGGCCAAUCAAACCGGGAGAUAGCUGGUUCUCCCCGAAAGCUAUUUAGGUAGCGCCUCGUGAAUUCAUCUCCGGGGGUAGAGCACUGUUUCGGCAAGGGGGUCAUCCCGACUUACCAACCCGAUGCAAACUGCGAAUACCGGAGAAUGUUAUCACGGGAGACACACGGCGGGUGCUAACGUCCGUCGUGAAGAGGGAAACAACCCAGACCGCCAGCUAAGGUCCCAAAGUCAUGGUUAAGUGGGAAACGAUGUGGGAAGGCCCAGACAGCCAGGAUGUUGGCUUAGAAGCAGCCAUCAUUUAAAGAAAGCGUAAUAGCUCACUGGUCGAGUCGGCCUGCGCGGAAGAUGUAACGGGGCUAAACCAUGCACCGAAGCUGCGGCAGCGACGCUUAUGCGUUGUUGGGUAGGGGAGCGUUCUGUAAGCCUGCGAAGGUGUGCUGUGAGGUAUGCUGGAGGUAUCAGAAGUGCGAAUGCUGACAUAAGUAACGAUAAAGCGGGUGAAAAGCCCGCUCGCCGGAAGACCAAGGGUUCCUGUCCAACGUUAAUCGGGGCAGGGUGAGUCGACCCCUAAGGCGAGGCCGAAAGGCGUAGUCGAUGGGAAACAGGUUAAUAUUCCUGUACUUGGUGUUACUGCGAAGGGGGGACGGAGAAGGCUAUGUUGGCCGGGCGACGGUUGUCCCGGUUUAAGCGUGUAGGCUGGUUUUCCAGGCAAAUCCGGAAAAUCAAGGCUGAGGCGUGAUGACGAGGCACUACGGUGCUGAAGCAACAAAUGCCCUGCUUCCAGGAAAAGCCUCUAAGCAUCAGGUAACAUCAAAUCGUACCCCAAACCGACACAGGUGGUCAGGUAGAGAAUACCAAGGCGCUUGAGAGAACUCGGGUGAAGGAACUAGGCAAAAUGGUGCCGUAACUUCGGGAGAAGGCACGCUGAUAUGUAGGUGAAGCGACUUGCUCGUGGAGCUGAAAUCAGUCGAAGAUACCAGCUGGCUGCAACUGUUUAUUAAAAACACAGCACUGUGCAAACACGAAAGUGGACGUAUACGGUGUGACGCCUGCCCGGUGCCGGAAGGUUAAUUGAUGGGGUUAGCGGUAACGCGAAGCUCUUGAUCGAAGCCCCGGUAAACGGCGGCCGUAACUAUAACGGUCCUAAGGUAGCGAAAUUCCUUGUCGGGUAAGUUCCGACCUGCACGAAUGGCGUAAUGAUGGCCAGGCUGUCUCCACCCGAGACUCAGUGAAAUUGAACUCGCUGUGAAGAUGCAGUGUACCCGCGGCAAGACGGAAAGACCCCGUGAACCUUUACUAUAGCUUGACACUGAACAUUGAGCCUUGAUGUGUAGGAUAGGUGGGAGGCUUUGAAGUGUGGACGCCAGUCUGCAUGGAGCCGGCCUUGAAAUACCACCCUUUAAUGUUUGAUGUUCUAACGUUGGCCCCUGAUCGGGGUUGCGGACAGUGUCUGGUGGGUAGUUUGACUGGGGCGGUCUCCUCCUAAAGAGUAACGGAGGAGCACGAAGGUUGGCUAAUCCUGGUCGGACAUCAGGAGGUUAGUGCAAUGGCAUAAGCCAGCUUGACUGCGAGCGUGACGGCGCGAGCAGGUGCGAAAGCAGGUCAUAGUGAUCCGGUGGUUCUGAAUGGAAGGGCCAUCGCUCAACGGAUAAAAGGUACUCCGGGGAUAACAGGCUGAUACCGCCCAAGAGUUCAUAUCGACGGCGGUGUUUGGCACCUCGAUGUCGGCUCAUCACAUCCUGGGGCUGAAGUAGGUCCCAAGGGUAUGGCUGUUCGCCAUUUAAAGUGGUACGCGAGCUGGGUUUAGAACGUCGUGAGACAGUUCGGUCCCUAUCUGCCGUGGGCGCUGGAGAACUGAGGGGGGCUGCUCCUAGUACGAGAGGACCGGAGUGGACGCAUCACUGGUGUUCGGGUUGUCAUGCCAAUGGCACUGCCCGGUAGCUAAAUGCGGAAGAGAUAAGUGCUGAAAGCAUCUAAGCACGAAACUUGCCCCGAGAUGAGUUCUCCCUGAGACUUAGAGUCUCCUGAAGGAACGUUGAAGACGACGACGUUGAUAGGCCGGGUGUGUAAGCGCAGCGAUGCGUUGAGCUAACCGGUACUAAUGAACCGUGAGGCUUAACCUU